GACAGAGGGUGCAAACGUUGCUCGGAAUUAUUGGGCGUAAAGCGCGUGUAGGCGGCUCACAAAGUCAGCUGUGAAAGCCCUCGGCUCAACCGAGGAAGUGCAGUUGAUACUGGUGAGCUUGAGUCCUGAAGAGGAUGGCGGAAUGCUCAGUGUAGAGGUGAAAUUCGUAGAUAUUGGGCAGAACACCGGUGGCGAAGGCGGCCAUCUGGGAAGGUACUGACGCUGAGACGCGAAGGCGUGGGGAUCAAACAGG
rnacentral:rRNA from 1 species